rnacentral:lncRNA from 1 species
GGAAUUAUUCAUGAAGCUCCAAGGCUGGAGAAACGCUUCCUUAUCUCCCGUCUCUGGAAUGACUGAGAGACGCAGAGUCCUGGCAGCCCAGGUGCCUUCUCACUUGGCAGCUGCCCUUUUGAAAACCACAAAUAGGAGAAGGAAUGACCUGCAGGGCACAACGUUUUUUAUAUUGUUUUUUAAAUGAGAAAACUGAUUUCUCUAAACCCACAAACUAAAAAGUGAUUGUAAAAAUAACGAAAUGCAGAUCAUUCCAGACAAUUCUAGCAUUCUAGACACUACUAGUAUUGAAAUUUACCAGUAAAAGAAAUGAGGUUAUGAAUUAUUUGGGGGUUAAGACGGACAGCUGGGUAGUUUAUACACAUUCAACACCCUUACUGAGACCAUCUAAUGCCUCUGUUUAAACUUGUUGAAAGAAAUUUGGGAACCGGAAAGAACGUCUGUGAAAACAGCAGCACGGGGUCCAGGCAACGGCCCCCACUUUCCUGAGUUCUGAACCCGGCUCUGUGGCUUCUCAGGUGAGGAAACGCAGGAAAGAGACCUGCCUGUGGUCCCACCAUCACGUCGCGACAGAGCCGCAGCUGGAAUUCAGCUCCCCAUUUUACUAUAGGAAAGAGCAAUGAAAUGAGACUCAGGAAGUAUGGGAGACUCUGGAGCUGAGGACAGAGAGUGAGUUCAGAAAACAUACAAGAGAGAUUUAAAAAGGAGUGGGGACCAGGCAUGCUAAAUGCUGCACAGAGGUCAAGCCACACAAGAUCUGAAGGUCGGCGUUUACAGAGCUGGCAGUAAGGUUAUCCGUGACCUUGGCAAGGGGGCGUCUACACUUUUUUUGUAGUGCAGAGCCCGAUUCAAUGUUGAAGCUCAGGGACGACAACUGCACCGUUCUUGCCUCUCACUGUCGUGUUGAUGAGCGCCCUGUGCUUGUCCCAGCCGUGGCUGGGACUUACCACUUCCCUUGAGGUUAGCCUCCAGUGAGAAAGAGCUGAAGUCGUCGGAGCUGCGUUUGUGGAAAAAAGCCUGGGUUCUCUGACCCUGUUCGCACCUCAGUUCUGCUCCUCUAGCUCCACUCUGUGUUUCCUGGACAACUGCUUCUCUGGACCUUAAUGGCCCCUGCUCCCUCCUUAGUUUUAACGGCCAUCUUGACUUCUUAGCAUCUUCUUUAGGACACAGUCUGGUGUUCUCCCGGCUUCUACCACUUACAGCUGCCCAGGCCCACAGCCCCGACGGAUG